GGCUACUCCUACCACAUAGUCCGCCGGGCGCCGUAAAAAAGGAGGAGACCAAACCCGCCGGGCCGGCGGCGCGGCAGUGUGGAGACCUGCCGUGACGUCCGUGAAGGUUCGCUCUUCACGGGCAAGGGGGUAUUUGCGGAGGCAUUGCCCCUACGGCUCAAGUACAUGGCA
rnacentral:ncRNA from 1 species